AUUGAAAGCGAAAGUCUCCAGCUCCCCAUUUCGUGUAAGUGACUGUUACAAAUAAUUAACGUGUCCUUACACUGGGUGAGACGACACUCUACUGUCGACUGCAAAAAGUAGAAGAAUUAAGGGAAACAGCCAGACCUGUUGGUAUCGUCAGCUUUCCAGACACUGGGUGAGAGACCACGCUCCAAUGUCGACUGCAAAAGUUGAAGAAUUAAGGAAGCGAGUGCAGCAAACGACAGGCGUAGAAGUCAAUUCACCUGCCCUCGAUUCCUUUCAUUCUGUCACCUCGCCUUCUCAAACUGCAUUGGAGAAGGACCAUGGGGAGGGACUUCCAAUAAUGGAGGAUGAGAUGUGAUGUGAGGAAUCAAGGAAAGAUACAUUGUAAAAAAUCCCAGUACUGAAGGCUAUUUGAGGGCUAAUACUCAUAUGAAGGAGUGGAGGCUGGUGGAAGGAGCUAUAGGAGGACUGGCUCAUUGUAAUGGCUGGAAUGGAAUAAGUGGAACUGAGGCUAACAUGUGGUUUCCAUAUGUGUGAUGUGUUUGAUACCGUUCUAUUAAUUCCCUUCCAGCCAUUACAAUGAGCCUGUCCUCCUAUAGCUCCUGCCACAAGCCUCUACUAGGGGGAUAAGGGGGAUAUCUGGUGAAUAUGGAAUAUAUAAAAAAGGCCGGAGUUAAAUCUGACCAUUUUAAAGGCUAAAUGACCAACAUGUAAAUAUAUGUAGAGUCUAGUUGCAACUAAAUAACAGAUGUACUUGCUUGUAAUCCUCCUUGGAAGGUCAAUGAUGAGUUGCUUUGUAUCAUAAACAGUUAUUCAAUUCACAUUUUGGGAAACUGUGAUGUUUGUUCGUCCUUUCUUAAUUAUUCAUUUUUAUAUUAUAAUCACAUUCUAAUGUUCAAAAUUACCAUAACCUCCCACAACAAUGACCAGAGUUCAUUCACUUAUUGUUUAUCAGUUACAUCUUUUAUUAAAUGAUUUGGAACAUAUCAAAACAUUUUUAAUCAGUACAACAUUUCCAGUCAUAAUUAUAAUAAACAAUGAUGUAAUUAACAGGAUUUUUUUUUUAGUUGUCUUGAUUAUAAACUUUAUUAUAUAUUUUCCUCAUGAACAUGUAAACAAUCAUUAAGUUUUCCCCACCACAUUGUGUCCUUGUUCAGGACCGAGAACAGUACCAGAGAGAGAGAGAAAGGGUUAUAUAUGCAUCCUUGUAACAAUGGCUUCUAUGACAGCAUAAUUUUGGGGCAUUGAUGGCUAUUAAUUAUAUAAAGUAAUAAACACAUGUUUAAUCAUAGCAAAAA